rnacentral:siRNA from 1 species
GUCAAUCUUUACUACGCGGGAUA